rnacentral:rRNA from 1 species
UACGUAGGGGGCAAGCGUUGUCCGGAAUUAUUGGGCGUAAAGAGCGCGUAGGCGGUCCGAUAAGUCGGCUGUGAAAGUCCAGGGCUCAACCCUGGAAAGCCGGCCGAUACUGUCGGACUAGAGUCCGGAAGAGGCGAGUGGAAUUCCGGUGUAGCGGUGAAAUGCGCAGAUAUCAGGAGGAACACCGGUGGCGAAGGCGGGUCUCUGGGCCAUUACUGACGCUGAGGAGCGAAAGCGUGGGGAGCAAACAGG